AAGGGCAGGGAGCAGCAGGUGUUUAAAGGUCAAGGACCACAGGAGGAGGCAGGGAGCUGGGUCCAAGGGCAGGGAGCAGCAGGUGUUUAAAGGUCAAGGACCACAGGAGGAGGCAGGUAGCUGGGUCCAAGGGCAGGGAGCAGCAGGUGUUUAAAGGGCAAGGACCACAGGAGGAGGCAGGU